rnacentral:rRNA from 1 species
GAUGAACGCUAGCGGCAGGCUUAAUACAUGCAAGUCGAGGGGCAGCACGGUUAGCAAUAACUGGUGGCGACCGGCGCACGGGUGCGUAACACGUAUACAAUCUACCUUAAACAGGGGAUAGCCUUUCGAAAGAGAGAUUAAUACCCCGUAAUAAAUUGAACGGCAUCGUUUGAUUUUGAAAGCUCCGGCGGUUUGAGAUGAGUAUGCGUCUGAUUAGCUAGUUGGUGAGGUAACGGCUCACCAAGGCGACGAUCGGUAGGGGAUCUGAGAGGACUAACCCCCACACUGGUACUGAGACACGGACCAGACUCCUACGGGAGGCAGCAGUAAGGAAUAUUGGUCAAUGGAGGCAACUCUGAACCAGCCAUGCCGCGUGCAGGAUGACGGCCCUAUGGGUUGUAAACUGCUUUUAUACAAGAGAAAACCCUGGUACGUGUACCAGGUUGAUAGUAUUGUAAGAUAAGCAUCGGCUAACUUCGUGCCAGCAGCCGCGGUAAU